AUGUUGGUGGUAUAGUGGUGACCAUAGCUGCCUUCUAAUCAGUUAAUCUGGGUUUAAUUCCCAGCCCAUGCA
rnacentral:tRNA from 1 species